AGCGUAGGCGGACAUUUAAGUCAGGGGUGAAAUCCCGGGGCUCAACCUCGGAAUUGCCUUUGAUACUGGGUGUCUUGAGUGUGAGAGAGGUAUGUGGAACUCCGAGUGUAGAGGUGAAAUUCGUAGAUAUUCGGAAGAACACCAGUGGCGAAGGCGACAUACUGGCUCAUUACUGACGCUGAGGCUCGAAAGCGUGGGGAGCAAACA
rnacentral:rRNA from 1 species